rnacentral:rRNA from 1 species
AGAGUUUGAUCCUGGCUCAGGAUGAACGCUGGCGGCGUGCUUAAUACAUGCAAGUCGAACGGAGACAUUAGCAAUAAUGUUUUAGUGGCGAACGGGUGAGUAACGCGUUGGUGACCUGCCCCGAAGAGAGGGAUAACAGUUCGAAAGGAUUGCUAAUACCCCAUGUGGUUGUUUGGAUUAGAUGCCUUACAACUAAACGGAUUUAUUCGCUUCGGGAGGGGCCUGCGUCCCAUCAGCUAGUUGGUAGGGUAAUGGCCUACCAAGGCUAUGACGGGUAGGGGACCUGAGAGGGUGGCCCCCCACAAUGGAACUGAAACACGGUCCAUACACCUACGGGUGGCAGCAGUAGGGAAUAUUGGUUAAUCUGCGAAAGCGGGAACCAGCAACGCCGCGUGCACGAUGAAGGCCUUCGGGUUGUAAAGUGCUUUUUGAGAGGAUGAGGAAGGACAGUACUCUUAGAAUAAGCUUCGGCUAACUACGUGCCAGCAGCCGCGGUAAAACGUAGGAAGCGAGCGUUAUCCGGAUUUACUGGGCGUAAAGCGUGUGUAGGCGGUUUGAUAAGUUGGAUGUGAAAGCUCCUGGCUUAACUGGGAGAGGUCGUUCAAAACUAUCAGACUCGAGAGUGGUAGAGGGAGGUGGAAUUCCGGGUGUAGUGGUGAAAUGCGUAGAUAUCCGGAGGAACACCAGUGGCGAAAGCGGCCUCCUGGCCCAUUUCUGACGCUCAGACACGAAAGCUAAGGUAGCAAACGGGAUUAGAGACCCCGGUAGUCUUAGCUGUAAACGAUGUGAACUUAGUGUCGGUGGGUUUAAAUCCAUCGGUACUGAAGCUAACGCGAUAAGUUCACCGCCUGGGGACUACGGCCGCAAGGUUAAAACUCAAAGGAAUUGACGGGGCCCCGCACAAGCAGCGGAGCGUGUGGUUUAAUUCGAUGUUACACGAAGAACCUUACCAGGGUUUGACAUGCAAGUGGUAGGAAACCGAAAGGUGACCGACUCCUCGGAGAGCUUGCACAGGUGCUGCAUGGCUGUCGUCAGCUCGUGUCGUGAGAUGUUCGGUUAAGUCCGCUAACGAGCGCAACCCUCGCUGUGUGUUACAAGUGUCACACGGU